rnacentral:lncRNA from 1 species
CAUUUUAUGUUUCAGUGCCAUCCGUUCUUCGAUUCCAAAUAUAGCAAGAUUUCUCUUCUCUUCUUUUGCAUCUAGAUAAUCAAUGUUUUGCAGCAGUUCUUCCUUCUGCACUAUAAUGUUUUCUACAUUUGAACAGUUCCAUAAUCUGAGUUUUGACCUAAGUGUUUGAAGUUUCAGUACCAAAGUAGUGACUGGGUCUUGGGAAGUUGGCCCCGCAUUCUACCAUGUUUGGAUCAAAUCUUCAAAUCCUACAAUUGUUAGUUAGAAAUUUUCAAAAUGAAAUGGUUUGCUAUACGUGGGUUUACCAUUGAAUUGGGC